rnacentral:rRNA from 1 species
CCUACGGGGGGCUGCAGUGGGGAAUAUUGGACAAUGGGCGAAAGCCUGAUCCAGCCAUGCCGCGUGUGUGAAGAAGGCCUUCGGGUUGUAAAGCACUUUCAGUGGGGAAGAAAGCCUUGGGGCUAAUACCCUCGAGGAAGGACAUCACCCACAGAAGAAGCACCGGCUAACUCCGUGCCAGCAGCCGCGGUAAUACAGAGGGUGCGAGCGUUAAUCGGAAUUACUGGGCGUAAAGCGCGCGUAGGCGGUCUGAUAAGCCGGUUGUGAAAGCCCCGGGCUCAACCUGGGAACGGCAUCCGGAACUGUCAGGCUAGAGUGCAGGAGAGGAAGGUAGAAUUCCCGGUGUAGCAGUGAAAUGCGUAGAGAUCGGGAGGAAUACCAGUGGCGAAGGCGGCCUUCUGGACUGACACUGACGCUGAGGUGCGAAAGCGUGGGUAGCAAACAGGAUUAGAUACCCGAGUAGUC